GGUUAAGCGACUAAGCGUACACGGUGGAUGCCCUGGCAGUCAGAGGCGAUGAAGGACGUGCUAAUCUGCGAUAAGCGUCGGUAAGGUGAUAUGAACCGUUAUAACCGGCGAUUUCCGAAUGGGGAAACCCAGUGUGUUUCGACACACUAUCAUUAACUGAAUCCAUAGGUUAAUGAGGCGAACCGGGGGAACUGAAACAUCUAAGUACCCCGAGGAAAAGAAAUCAACCGAGAUUCCCCCAGUAGCGGCGAGCGAACGGGGAGGAGCCCAGAGCCUGAAUCAGUGUGUGUGUUAGUGGAAGCGUCUGGAAAGGCGCGCGAUACAGGGUGACAGCCCCGUACACAAAAAUGCACAUGCUGUGAGCUCGAUGAGUAGGGCGGGACACGUGGUAUCCUGUCUGAAUAUGGGGGGACCAUCCUCCAAGGCUAAAUACUCCUGACUGACCGAUAGUGAACCAGUACCGUGAGGGAAAGGCGAAAAGAACCCCGGCGAGGGGAGUGAAAAAGAACCUGAAACCGUGUACGUACAAGCAGUGGGAGCACGCUUAGGCGUGUGACUGCGUACCUUUUGUAUAAUGGGUCAGCGACUUAUAUUCUGUAGCAAGGUUAACCGAAUAGGGGAGCCGAAGGGAAACCGAGUCUUAACUGGGCGUUAAGUUGCAGGGUAUAGACCCGAAACCCGGUGAUCUAGCCAUGGGCAGGUUGAAGGUUGGGUAACACUAACUGGAGGACCGAACCGACUAAUGUUGAAAAAUUAGCGGAUGACUUGUGGCUGGGGGUGAAAGGCCAAUCAAACCGGGAGAUAGCUGGUUCUCCCCGAAAGCUAUUUAGGUAGCGCCUCGUGAAUUCAUCUCCGGGGGUAGAGCACUGUUUCGGCAAGGGGGUCAUCCCGACUUACCAACCCGAUGCAAACUGCGAAUACCGGAGAAUGUUAUCACGGGAGACACACGGCGGGUGCUAACGUCCGUCGUGAAGAGGGAAACAACCCAGACCGCCAGCUAAGGUCCCAAAGUCAUGGUUAAGUGGGAAACGAUGUGGGAAGGCCCAGACAGCCAGGAUGUUGGCUUAGAAGCAGCCAUCAUUUAAAGAAAGCGUAAUAGCUCACUGGUCGAGUCGGCCUGCGCGGAAGAUGUAACGGGGCUAAACCAUGCACCGAAGCUGCGGCAGCGACGCUGAUGCGUUGUUGGGUAGGGGAGCGUUCUGUAAGCCUGUGAAGGUGUGCUGUGAGGCAUGCUGGAGGUAUCAGAAGUGCGAAUGCUGACAUAAGUAACGAUAAAGCGGGUGAAAAGCCCGCUCGCCGGAAGACCAAGGGUUCCUGUCCAACGUUAAUCGGGGCAGGGUGAGUCGACCCCUAAGGCGAGGCCGAAAGGCGUAGUCGAUGGGAAACAGGUUAAUAUUCCUGUACUUGGUGUUACUGCGAAGGGGGGACGGAGAAGGCUAUGUUGGCCGGGCGACGGUUGUCCCGGUUUAAGCGUGUAGGCUGGUUUUCCAGGCAAAUCCGGAAAAUCAAGGCUGAGGCGUGAUGACGAGGCACUACGGUGCUGAAGCAACAAAUGCCCUGCUUCCAGGAAAAGCCUCUAAGCAUCAGGUAACAUCAAAUCGUACCCCAAACCGACACAGGUGGUCAGGUAGAGAAUACCAAGGCGCUUGAGAGAACUCGGGUGAAGGAACUAGGCAAAAUGGUGCCGUAACUUCGGGAGAAGGCACGCUGAUAUGUAGGUGAAGUCCCUCGCGGAUGGAGCUGAAAUCAGUCGAAGAUACCAGCUGGCUGCAACUGUUUAUUAAAAACACAGCACUGUGCAAACACGAAAGUGGACGUAUACGGUGUGACGCCUGCCCGGUGCCGGAAGGUUAAUUGAUGGGGUCAGCGCAAGCGAAGCUCUUGAUCGAAGCCCCGGUAAACGGCGGCCGUAACUAUAACGGUCCUAAGGUAGCGAAAUUCCUUGUCGGGUAAGUUCCGACCUGCACGAAUGGCGUAAUGAUGGCCAGGCUGUCUCCACCCGAGACUCAGUGAAAUUGAACUCGCUGUGAAGAUGCAGUGUACCCGCGGCAAGACGGAAAGACCCCGUGAACCUUUACUAUAGCUUGACACUGAACAUUGAGCCUUGAUGUGUAGGAUAGGUGGGAGGCUUUGAAGUGUGGACGCCAGUCUGCAUGGAGCCGACCUUGAAAUACCACCCUUUAAUGUUUGAUGUUCUAACGUUGACCCGUGAUCCGGGUUGCGGACAGUGUCUGGUGGGUAGUUUGACUGGGGCGGUCUCCUCCUAAAGAGUAACGGAGGAGCACGAAGGUUGGCUAAUCCUGGUCGGACAUCAGGAGGUUAGUGCAAUGGCAUAAGCCAGCUUGACUGCGAGCGUGACGGCGCGAGCAGGUGCGAAAGCAGGUCAUAGUGAUCCGGUGGUUCUGAAUGGAAGGGCCAUCGCUCAACGGAUAAAAGGUACUCCGGGGAUAACAGGCUGAUACCGCCCAAGAGUUCAUAUCGACGGCGGUGUUUGGCACCUCGAUGUCGGCUCAUCACAUCCUGGGGCUGAAGUAGGUCCCAAGGGUAUGGCUGUUCGCCAUUUAAAGUGGUACGCGAGCUGGGUUUAGAACGUCGUGAGACAGUUCGGUCCCUAUCUGCCGUGGGCGCUGGAGAACUGAGGGGGGCUGCUCCUAGUACGAGAGGACCGGAGUGGACGCAUCACUGGUGUUCGGGUUGUCAUGCCAAUGGCACUGCCCGGUAGCUAAAUGCGGAAGAGAUAAGUGCUGAAAGCAUCUAAGCACGAAACUUGCCCCGAGAUGAGUUCUCCCUGACCCUUUAAGGGUCCUGAAGGAACGUUGAAGACGACGACGUUGAUAGGCCGGGUGUGUAAGCGCAGCGAUGCGUUGAGCUAACCGGUACUAAUGAACCGUGAGGCUUAACCUU
rnacentral:rRNA from 1 species